ACCCUCUCGGGGUCGCACCUGGAGAGUUUCCAGUACUCUACCAGGCUCGGCUACAGGAGGGAGAGUCAAGCGGAGACGUGCCCAUUUCAUUCUAGCUUAGGUAACGGCUAGCGAGUGGAAGGCAAUCUGCUACAAGU